rnacentral:tRNA from 2 species
UGCCAGCUUAGCUCAGUUGGUAGAGCAACGCAUUCGUAAUGCGUAGGUCGCAGGUUCAAGUCCUGUUGCUGGCAG